UCUGGUGACCACAGCGCGGUGGAACCACCCGUUCCCAUCCCGAACACGGAAGUGAAACGCCGCAGCGCCAAUGGUAGUCGGACGACAGGUCCCGCGAGAGUAGGUCGUUGCCAGAA
rnacentral:rRNA from 1 species